AACGAUCUCCUGGACCUUCUUCGCUUUGGGGUCCAGGCAGUACUGCACCCCGUUCUGGAGGUGAACGCUGCGGAAACGCGGGGAAAACGUUGGGAAAACGUACAGGAAACAUGGACACGUGAUGUAUGGUCACAAACGGGAUCAGCCACAGUUACGGCAAUGUGCACGAGUUUAUCUUACAAAAUGUCAAUGCGUUAUAUAACAUGCGACAAUAUACCGUAAAAUGAUUUUUUUUUUUUUGUACUAUAGAUAACAAUGCUGUAUGGAUAUUUCAAUAAGCAAUAUGAUAUUUACAAUAUAUACAAUAUAUUAUAUUAUAUUAUAUAUACAAUAUUUACAAUAUUUACAGUUAAUAUUGAUAUAUACACAAUGUAUGUCAAUAAUUAGUAGAAUUAUUUUGUAAUAACAUCUGAUUUGGCAUCUGUAGGACACCAUCUGGUCUGAGGUAUAUAAGCUAAGGUACAUAACUGGGACCCGGAAGUCUGGUGUUUAGUCUCAUCAACUGUAGGAACUGUAGUUGGAAAAAAAGCAUCAGCUAAAUAAUCAGCCCUCCACCGUAAUGUAAAAGACCUGAUAGUUUGGCUAAAUAAUUGCCUUCCACCGUAAUGUAAAAGACCUGAUGGUUUGGCUUACACAAUCUCAAUGUUUUUGCAGAAUUUGGACGGAGGGUAGAUUUGCAUGUCCUGGAUGGCCCAGGUCGGCCCGAGUCUGCUCCUGGUUCGAAAACACGUACACUGCCCCCGGGACGGCUCAGCUGGAAACGAAACAACAAAACAAAACUUAGUACAUUAAAAAAACCACCAAAAAAACUAUUAACCUCCGGAGGAAUUGCAGCUUCCCUGAGCCCUAUACAGCAUUUAUCUUAGCAUAAGGCACACUCAAUUAAAAUUAUAUAAAAUAUAUAUUUAAAAAAUAUAUUUUUACUGCAACAUCUUCUUGUCAUCCAAAACACUAAAUUAUUUUCUAAAAAUAACAUGACUUUUUAUUAUUGUUUUAAAUAAUGUCAGUUGUUAGAUGUCAGGAUCUCCGUAAAAAGCCCCCGCGGAAGCAUUGGGACCGGGAGCGCAGGAUGGAGCGCGCAUUAAAACGAAGAGAUUGGAUGGAGCGUCACGUACGGGCGGCGGAAGCCAGGCUGGCGAUGAGCGCGAGGACCAGGAGGAGGCGAGCGAUCAUGGCGAGGGUCACGCGGCUCGUCUGUGGUGCAGGAGUGACGGAGCGACUCCACUGAAAUGGAACCACGGACACUUUACAAAGGACGCGAUACACUUAUGUUUCAGCCAUGGAUAUGGAAUACGGCAAAAGUUAUUCAGGAAGCAGUUCUGAUUGGUCAGUGAUGAUGACAUCAGACGGGAGCCCAGAGGUCAGUAGAGCCGUCCUCGGGAGAAACGGUGGGAGCAGAAUCCCUGCAGAAAGACAGAACCGUCACCCGAUAGGUUGAAAUCAUUAACAACGAUUAUGUGCCAGAACACCAUUUAAAGUUCCAUGUAGUCUGUGUUUUACCCGUGCUAUUUUACUGUUUAUGCAGCGUGGGAAAAGCAGUUUAUAAAUAAAAUGAAUGAUGAUGAUGAUGAUUAUAAUAAUAAUAAUAAUAAUAAUAAUAAUAAUAAUAAUAAUGAAAUGUGGAUGUUCAGGAGCC